GACCCCUGAAGCAUGAGUCGACUCAUAAGUCGACCCCUGCGAUGGGAAAUGUCAACAACGGCUAUUUUUUUGCCCAUUUUAAUUGCCAUUUAUGCUUCCUAAAAAUCCUCUAAUGGCUCUUUAUCUACUUAAAUUGUUUUCUCUUGCUUCUAAUGCUACAAAAUGCUUAAUAUGAUGAAAGAAAUUGCAGAUUAAAUAGCGGAUCAAACGUGAAAUCAAAUAUGAAGAGGAGCAGAGAAAGAGAGAGAAGAAUAGAAGAAAGGAUCCGAAAUUUGCAAGAAAAAGCAUGAGAUCAAUGAAAAAUCCAAAAAGAAAAAAUAAUAUACCAAAGAGAUUGUGAAAGAAAAAAGCAAGAUCUUUCAAGGAGAGAAUUCUUCAUGCCUAUUGUUUCAACCUUGAUCUAGAGAUCGUUCAAAGCUUUCAAGAGAUCUUCAAUCAACAAUCAACCUCUUCUCAAGCAUUCAAGUGUUCAUCCACUUUGAGAAAUUUCGAAAAAGGGGUUCUUCAUUUGAGUAAAGCUUUUAUUGUUAUAUUCGCUCAUUUAAAGGAGCUGUUAUUGUAUUAAUUUGUGCUCUAAAUUUUCUAACUCUUUGUGAGUUUUUGUUCUU
rnacentral:lncRNA from 1 species